rnacentral:rRNA from 1 species
UACGAAGGGGGCUAGCGUUGUUCGGAAUUACUGGGCGUAAAGCGCACGUAGGCGGAUACUUAAGUCAGGGGUGAAAUCCCGGGGCUCAACCCCGGAACUGCCUUUGAUACUGGGUAUCUCGAGUCCGGAAGAGGUGAGUGGGAAUUCCGAGUGUAGAGGUGAAAUUCGUAGAUAUUCGGAGGAACACCAGUGGCGAAGGCGGCUCACUGGUCCGGUACUGACGCUGAGGUGCGAAAGCGUGGGGAGCAACAGG